rnacentral:tRNA from 1 species
GGUGGCUCAGUGGUAGAGUACUUGCCUUGCAUGCAUGAGGCCUCCGGUUCGAUUCCUCAGCACCA